CAAAGGUUUGGUCCUGACUUUACUGUCAGCUUUAACCUAAUUCAUACAUGCAAGUAUCCGCAUCCCUGUGAGAAUGCCCUCAAUCCCCCUACCGGGGACGAGGAGCAGGCAUCAGGCACACAAUUAUUUAGCCCAAGACGCCUUGCUUUGCCACACCCCCAAGGGAAUUCAGCAGUAGUAAAUAUUAAGCCAUAAGUGAAAACUUGACUUAGUUAAGGUUAAAAGAGUCGGUAAAAUUCGUGCCAGCCACCGCGGUUAUACGAAAGACUCCAGUUGAUAGACACGGCGUAAAGGGUGGUUAGGAUAACAAUAAAAUAAAGCUAAAGACUUACCAAGCCGUCAUACGCCCAUGAAAGAACGAAAACCAAAAACGAAAGUAACUUUAUUAUAACAUCCGAACCCACGAAAGCUAAGAAACAAACUGGGAUUAGAUACCCCACUAUGCUUAGCCUUAAACCAAGAUAUUAUUUUACAAAACUAUCCGCCAGGGUACUACGAGCAUAGCUUAAAACCCAAAGGACUUGGCGGUGUCUCAGACCCAC
rnacentral:rRNA from 1 species